rnacentral:rRNA from 1 species
GACAGAGGUCCCAAGCGUUUAGGCGGAAUCACUGGGCUUAAAGCGUGUGUAGGCGGAUUUGUAAGUACCUUGUGAGAUCCCACGGCUCAACCGUGGAACUGCUUGGUAUACUGCUUAUCUUGGGUCGUCUAGGGGCGAGCGGAACAAACGGUGGAGCGGUGAAAUGCGUAGAUAUCGUUUGGAACGCCAAUGGUGAAAACAGCUCGCUGGGGACGUACCGACGCUGAGGCACGAAGGUCAGGGGGAGCAAACGGGG